AAGUCUGGUGCCAGCAGCCGCGGUAAUUCCAGCUCCAAUAGCGUAUAUUAAAGUUGUUGCAGUUAAAAAGCUCGUAGUUGAAUUUCGGGGUUAGUAGGUUGGUCAUGCCUCUGGUAUGUACUGGUCUCACUGAUUCCUCCUUCCUGAUGAACCGUAAUGCCAUUAAUUUGGUGUUUCGGGGAAUUUGGACUGUUACUUUGAAAAAAUUAGAGUGUUUAAAGCAAGCUAACGCUUGAAUACAUUAGCAUGGAAUAAUGAAAUAGGACGUUCGAUCCUAUUUUGUUGGUUUCUAGGAUUGACGUAAUGAUUAAUAGGGAUAGUUGGGGGCAUUAGUAUUCAAUUGUCAGAGGUGAAAUUCUUGGAUUUAUUGAAGACUAACUACUGCGAAAGCAUUUGCCAAGGAUGUUUUCAUUAAUCAAGAACGAAAGUUAGGGGAUCGAAGAUGAUCAGAUACCGUCGUAGUCUUAACCAUAAACUAUGCCGACUAGGGAUCGGAUGAUGUUAAUUUUUUAAUGACUCAUUCGGCGCCUUACGGGAAACCAAAGUGUUUGGGU
rnacentral:rRNA from 1 species